rnacentral:lncRNA from 1 species
GCAUUAAAGGAUGUGUCUUUUUGGCUACUGCUCUGCUGGAGCUGAAACUUUCCCAAAACUCACAGCUAAGCAGUUCAGUGUGUGUUGCAUGGGACAGCUACAGAAUUCCAAUUACUGCAAUGGCUCCCUCCCCUCUGGGCAUGAGGCAGACCAAGGACUUGUGGCUGCACGCUCACAACCUGUACAGGAAUCCCUUCUCCAAGUAAAGUGCUGUUGGAACUGUUGCUGGUCGCAAAACUUCUACAGGUUCUGGAUAACAGCAAAAGCAAUGCCGUGGAACACUCCAGUGCCUUCUUUCCCCUACAUCCUGGAUUUGGUUGCUUUCAACAAAAUCUUCUCCAGGCUUUUUUAAGUGACUUGUAUAUACAGGAGAGUCUCAUCUGCCUCUUAGACUUGGUUGUCAAAUCGUUUACAGAUGAUGUAAACUGGCACAUCAUCAUGAUUCUGGGAUGGGGAUGAAGGAAAAAAUAGUUUUUGUUGUUGUGUUCUUUGGUUUGAUUUUUUUUACUAUUUUUUUCCAAAGUCACCUCUGGGGAGAUGAGAAUUCUCUGGGAUGCAAACUGGAGAGUCAAAUCGCAGACCAAGAUACGGGAAAUGGAGCUAUUUUUAGUGAGAGCGGGUUCAUGAGUGGAAGAAGGGGAGAUUAAAGAUGACAAAGAGAAGAAAUUCACCUGUUUCCCAUGUGUUCUUGCCAUGGCUCUAUCAGUUCACCCUAUAUAAGCAUCAUUCAUGACAGGGUUAUAUACUUAUUCUUUCAGUUGUCUGGAAGCCUUGGGUCAAAAGAAAAAAAUCUUUUCAGGAUCUGACAAAAUAUUUUAGACAGAAGACAUCAUUUUUUAAUUCUUCAAAAGACAAGUUAUAUGUAUUCAUUGCAUAAGAAAUCUAUAAUUUAACAGCAGCUGUGCAGCAGCCUUUCCAUGCUAUAGUGCAGUCUACUAUAUUGAUGAUUUCAAAUAUUUAUACCAUCAUCCCACAUUCAUGAAAAAUAUUUAAAUUAAACAUGCAUAGGAACAGAUGCCAUUCUGUUCUGGCAAGAAAACCUAGUCAUAAACUUCUACUUAUGAAAUGUUAUUUCACUUGACCCCUAUCAGUUUAGGAAGUCAUGAAAAUUAAACUGGGAAAGUAGAAAUAGUUUAUGUAAGCUUUUCUUUCAGCAAAACCUUUCAGCAGAUACGUGAAGACAAGAUGUUUCCAUUAGUGGCAGAACAGAGUUUGAUUUGAUAAGAUGACGCUCACUGCUUUAACUUCUAAUGCAAGAGCCAGUGCCCAGUUAGAAGUUUCUUUGUGCCUGCAGAAGGAACUUAUUAAAGCAGCUUUCCAGACCAAAUGACAAAUGAUUCAUUUCAGUAGUUAGUGCUUCUUAAAAUUAUAAUUAAUAUUGUAAUAAUAUUGUUAGAGAUAUUCUAAGACAACUACACUUGGUUUCGUACUGGAAUGUGCAACUUCACUGUUGUUCUUGCUUUAAAAAAAUGCAGAGAGGCUGUUUCUUACUAUUUCUAAUUAAAGCUGUGUUCUGGAAGAGUGAAAAGGGAAGGGAAAUGCCAUGUAAAGAUUGCAGGCUAUGGACAUCAUCAGCCCGACUCUAUUCACGUUAAGCAUUUACAUCUCUCUGCAUGUAGUCCAUACUGGACUACAUAUGCAUUUGUCUAACAUAUUUGUAGCAAGGUCUGAAGAAACAAUUGAUUCUGUCUAUUGUACCUAAUCUAUCUUGGCAUUUAUACAAUCCUUUGAAUCCUGUUAUCUGGUGGAAGUUAGAAAAAUAAGUGGGUGAUUUCAUGGUUCUCUCCACUUCUAAUAGACCCUGUUUGAGAUGUUAUUCUUGGAUUUUCUUCUUCUUUUGGCUUCACAUUUUAGCAGCCUUAACAGAUUUUAUUGUGCUCGUCCUCCCUUCCCCCCUUCACAACUGAACUAAAAAAAUAGGUGACAAUGCAAAAGUUAUAAUGUAUGUUAUUUUUCAUCGUAUUCCUCCUGUUCUAGUUUGUAAAAGUUCUGGGGAAAGGGGAGUUUGAGAUUUAUUUGCUAGCUCUGUUUUUCCAUAUGACACCGUCCUGGGAAUCAGAGCUGGACUGAUGGAAAAGUUUGAUCGUUGCAGGGGCUGAAACAAGCCCAUAAUACUGGGACGUGACAGGGAACAAGUAUCGUAAAAAGCAUCACGCGGCCACUUUGUGCCCAUCCAGAGCACGAACAAAGUUCUGCCAUAGUUCAGAUGUCAGUCCCUCGAGGAAAGGUCUCUCUUGCUUAUGAAGGAGAGUUUGUUAGCCAUACUGGGAGACAGCUGGGAGAGAGUUCUGUAUUGCAACAUUUUGGCCUGAAAUCACAGAGAGAAAUGUUGUCGGGAACAAGAACUGGCUAAAUGAGUGUACGUGCCCAAGAACAUGCUGUGUGGUAGAUUCCCCAGUUGACAGAAACUCAAAUAAGUUGCAAGACCCAGUAUGAAUUAGUGAAUCGCAGCCUGCAAGUGGGGACAAUUCGGUUCCUUCUGCAACAUGGUAUAGUUGCUGGUAACUUUUUCCUCCCUCAUUUUUAUUAAUAUUAAAUUAGGCAAGACAUUACACUUAAGUCAGCAAGAAUGGCAAAGUUUGAGGAUUAGGAAGCCAUCAGAUUCCUUCUCGUAUAGAAUUCCUGUGAAAUGGCAAAAGCAGGGACAGAAGGCACAGGAGCUGACUGGUGAUGUGACAAGAGGGUACCUCAAAGCAGUGUGCAAACACUGUUCUUUUCAUGGCCUCUCUCCUUGCCUUUAAACUUGAUACUGUGUGAGUCGGCUGUAACAGCCAUGCCCAUCAAACCAAGACGCAUAACCUGGGCUGUGCAGACAAAUGCUAGCCCAGCUCCCACGGUGUCCUUACUUCUCUGCUUUUUGUCUCUCUCUUCAGAAGCCUGAAAAAAAAAUAAAAUACAAAUUCUUUGUUUCA